rnacentral:rRNA from 1 species
GAUGAACGCUGGCGGCGUGCCUAAUACAUGCAAGUCGAGCGAACAGACGAGGAGCUUGCUCCUCUUACGUUAGCGGCGGACGGGUGAGUAACACGUGGAUAACCUACCUAUAAGACUGGGAUAACUUCGGGAAACCGGAGCUAAUACCGGAUAAUAUAUUGAACCGCAUGGUUCAAUAGUGAAAGACGGUUUUGCUGUCACUUAUAGAUGGAUCCGCGCCGCAUUAGCUAGUUGGUAAGGUAACGGCUUACCAAGGCAACGAUGCGUAGCCGACCUGAGAGGGUGAUCAGCCACACUGGAACUGAGACACGGUCCAGACUCCUACGGGAGGCAGCAGUAGGGAAUCUUCCGCAAUGGGCGAAAGCUUGACGGAGCAACGCCGCGUGAGUGAUGAAGGUCUUCGGAUCGUAAAACUCUGUUAGUAGGGAAGAACAAAUGUGUAAGUAAAUAUGCACGUCUUGACGGUACCUAAUCAGAAAGCCACGGCUAACUACGUG